AAAUUCAUUGUAUUUAUCUGUUUAGUAAAAUAAAAAAAAUAAAAAAAACCCAAUUGGCUAGAAGAUUAACCAGUGAUGAGGUUGAGUUGAACUACUAUCUUCAAAUGAUAAUUCAAUUUGAAUGGAAAAGAUUUUUUUUUUUUUAGUUUCAAUCUGGUGAAAAGAUAAACAUGAUUUGAAGAUUUUAAUCACAGGUGAAACUUUAUUCAAGUGUGGGAACUAUAUUAUAAAAAGAUAGGCAGUACACACAAAGAAUGAUACGGCAGUAUUGAGAGCAAAAUAGAGAAUCACACAGAUACACACUUCAAUUCAGAGGAGUAGAAACACAGUAGCAAGAAACAGAGCAGAAGCGAGCAAGAUUCAACAACUAGAGACCAAGUCCUAAGUUUGCCAACAUCCUUAAACUAGCACGAGUUUGCCUUCAUUCCCAUUGCUAACCCAACAUCUCCGGCACUUACAGAGUAUAUACAUUCAUCAAUAUAAAAAACCUAGAAGUAGCAAAACCAAAAGAACCCAGCUUUAACCAAAUCUCAUAAUAGAACCAUCACAAUUUGGCAAUCGAAAGUGGCAACAUAAUCUAAAAUUCGAAACUCAUAUUCACCUAGUACAACUCACACCUAUCAUAAAUUCAACCAAAUAGCCAUUGCCUGAAGCCAUGAACCCUACAAAUAAAAAAUAAAUUUAGUCCCUAAGAAACAAAUAACAAUCUCAUCAUCUCUAAAUCGCUGUCUACGCUGUUGCCGAAACUGCGCUGCAACCAAAUCCUUACUCCACGAAAAACCUAUAUACAGCUAACACAAAUCCAAGGAAAAAAUGAAACAAAAUCAGAAACAAGGAAUCAAUCAAAGAGCAAGAAAAGAGAAAAAAAUUGGAGCACCUUCAACCACAGUAAUGUAAGCGGUUCACGGCAGCUAUUGAGUUUUAGAAGAUCUGGAAUGGUGGAAGUGUGGAGAUUAGUGAGGAAAAUAAUAUACUGAAAAGCCAGAGUGAUCAGAUGAUGUAAAAGAACGGAAACAGUAGAGGAAGAUCGUAGUUUUUCGCUUCAGAUCUGGAGUGAUUAAGGACGAUUUUCAAGAAAGCAACUUCAGAUUUAAGACUAGGAGGCUAAGAGGAAGUGACGAUGAAAUUUUGGGCUUUAACGAUGGUCGACUGGCAGCAGAGCUCCACGGUUGACAGCGGAGUAAAGAUCUGCAGUGACGAUCGGUGAUCAAAAUCUGAAAAUUCUAGAAAAAAGAGAGAAGCAGAGGAAAAAUUAGAGAGAGAAUGUAAAGAAACAUUUUGAAAAGAAAAAAAGAAACAGAUUUAGGC
rnacentral:lncRNA from 1 species